rnacentral:rRNA from 1 species
CAGUAGCCGCGGUAAUACGAAGGGUGCAAGCGUUAAUCGGAAUUACUGGGCGUAAAGCGUGCGUAGGCGGUUUGUUAAGUCUGUUGUGAAAUCCCCGGGCUCAACCUGGGAAUGGCAAUGGAUACUGGCAAGCUAGAGUGUGUCAGAGGAUGGUGGAAUUCCCGGUGUAGCGGUGAAAUGCGUAGAGAUCGGGAGGAACAUCAGUGGCGAAGGCGGCCAUCUGGGACAACACUGACGCUGAGGCACGAAAGCGUGGGGAGCAAACAGGAUUAGAUACCCCUGUAGUCCCUGUCUCUUAUAC